rnacentral:sRNA from 1 species
AGGCUCGUGCCCGUCGCAUCAACGCGUGUGCGAGCGCGCGGAGCGGCUCGGCGGGUGAUUUUCCCUUCCUCCCUCGGCGGCAGGGCAGCGCCGUGGAUGGCCCGCGGGUCGUUACCACCCAAAAGCAUAAUACGUAGAUGCAUCAUAGGUACUGGGGUGCCACCGCGCCGCCACCACCACGUAGCCCGCAGCGGUCCACGCAAACACGCGACGUCGCGCAUUUAAUCGCGCGCGCGCCGCACCCACGCGUGCGGUGCUGCACGGCCCCGGAUCCGCGCGGACGGCGCCGUGGCGGAACGCCACCCUCACGUGACGGACGACGUAGACCCACCACCCAGCCGUGAGGCUCUCGUACGUCCUGUGGCCGGACGAACGGGUGGGGUGGCGCGCACGCGCCGGUGGUGGGCGUUUGACCGGACGGUUGGCACCGUGACAUUGCGCGGAUUGGCCGGGCGUGGAGGUACACCGGUACGUACGAGUACGAUCUUUCACCAGGUUUCGCCGAGCGUCGUAGAUAGUAGGGUGGUGGCGCGGUCUCGGCCGGCCGGUUCGAGAGAUGCGCGUCACCGUCCUGGGGCUGGCCGGAUGUGAAGCUUCGACAAGGAGGCGGCGCGGGCCGAUCGCCUCAAGGAUGGCAGCGCACUGUGGGCACACAUGUACACGCGCCUGGACCGGCAGGGGUACCACGGAACUCGAGAGGUACCGGCCGCCUUGGCUGGAUUUGUUUGAAAACCUGGUGCUCGAGGGCUAAAGAUGGUCCAAGACAUUAUUGCAAAUAUUGGUUCGAGUAUUUUUCACGGGGGAGGGAGUCGAUUUUGUAUUUUUCAAAUUUGUAGGAACCCGAAUAAAUGAUGUAAACUUGAUGUCAUGCAGCGUCACAUUGCUUGGAGAUUCGUGCUCGCC